rnacentral:tmRNA from 1 species
GGGGCAGUAAAGGUUUCGACGGGCUGUUUGAAGUCGGAGAAGCAAGCCGCACGGUCAUGCGUUAAAUGCCAAAUUAAAAUUAAACGCUGAAGAUAAUUUAGCAAUCGCUGCCUAAUGGCAGCUGUCUGACCUGACGCACCUACACGUCAGGAACCAGGCAUCGACUCUGUAGGAAACGACACAGGCAAAGCUUUGAGCCUGCGGGCGUAUUAUGAAGCUACUAAAGUGCAUAUCCUGUUAAUCGGAGCUGCAUGGAGGGAAUGUCAGAUGAUUAACUAAGCUUGUAGAAGGACGAUGGACGGUGGUUCGGACACGGGUUCGAUUCCCGUCUGCUCCAC